rnacentral:lncRNA from 1 species
UUUUUGUCUUUUUAGGGCCACACAUGCGGUAUAUGGAAGUUCCCAGGCUAGGGGUCAAAUUAGAGCUGUAGCUUCGGGCCUACAUCACAGCCACAGCAGCACCAGGUCCAAGAGCACGUCUGCGAUCUACACCACAGCUCAUAGCAAUGCCAGAUCCUUAACCCACUGAGUGAGGCCAGGGAUUGAACCCACAUCCUCAUGGAUACUAGUCGGGUUCAUUAGCCCCUGAGCCACAACGGGAACUCCAACUGCCAAAGGUCACCACUUCAGCUGGGCUGGAAAUGUAUGCCCUGAGAAUAGGCUCAAAACACAAAGUUAGUUUAGAUAAAAGAAAAGCCAGUGAGUUCAAGCGAACCUCCAAAAGUCUCGCCCAUAAAGUGCUAAAAAUAUUUCUUUUAAGGAACUUAACAUUCCCUCCCCUCAAUGUUAAUAAUCUUGUAUGUAAAUAUACUGAAAUGUUAUUUGUGUCUCAGGGAACCUAGGUUUUCUAGCCCGAAUAUAUUGUAGCAAAGGAUAAGGACACAGAGCUUACAUGUCUGAGACACAUACACACAUGCACAUACACACACUCACUACCUCAUUAUAUAGGUGCCACUACCCUCACUUUACAGAUACAUGGAACUGAAGGGACCUCGAAGUCUUCCCUCCUCCUGCUUUCCUACUGCAAAGGGCUCCCUGCUCUUUUUUCCAAAUACAAGGUCAAGCUUAUUUGCAUCUCCUCUGGGAAGACUCAUCAGUUGAGCCCACAAGUAUGACAGGCUCUUCUGAACCCAGAGUAUCACUGCCUGGAAGACUGGGAGAACCCAUCGUAUCCUUCCCCAAGGCCUGCUCACAGUGACUUAACUGCUGAAUGCUGCAUUUACUGCAGGUAGUAAAUGCCUACAGAGACAACCAACUCUGCCUCUGUCUAUGCCCCAAAGUGCUCAACAUUUACUUGUUCACUGAAAGAGAAAAAAAGAUAAACCCAAAGGUAUAUAUAACUCCUGUAGGAAAUACAAGAUGGCACAGUAGCAGCAGAUAUAAAACAUGAGGGGAAAUGGGUACAUAAGUCCUAAAGUUUUGCCAGGUAGCAAAACAGAUGCUUGGCAGAAGUGACUGAAAUUGGUUCCUGGAGCCCAGAGAUACAUCUAUGUGUCAUCACACCCCUCUGCUUGGUUCCCAUCAGAGCCGAGUGGAGCAGGCUUCAAUGCCCACUUGGCAAAUACACUCUGGGAAGCUGAUUUGCUAAAUCUGAUUUCUUAGGGCUCUGUGUUUGCAGUGACUAUACUGCAAUUCAGCAAAUAUUUACUGGCUGUCUUCAGUGCAAGGCUUGGGUGAACAGAGAGAUGAAGUGGGACACAGCUCCUACUCUCAAGGAAUUCACAAUCUAGUGAGAGGAACUGCAUGUUUAUCUAUACAACGCUGUGAAACUGUUACUAGGUUUUGUUUUUAAUUUUAAAAAGUGGCGUGAGAACACAGAGGAAAUUAAGAAUGAAGGCUUCUGGUUGGGAGGUGGGGGGGCAGUCAAAGAGAAAGCUUUGAGCUGGACCUUGAAGACUGUACACAGAUUUGGUGAGCUCUCUGGACAGCGUUGCAUGAAUAGUGCUAAUUACAAAGGAAGAAAAAGAAGAGGAAGAACAAUUCACCAAGAGGAUGGCAGAGGGAGAGAGGAGAAAUAAAUAGCGAUAAUUUUGUCUGUCAAGACCCUCUGAAUGCUGCUGUCGGCAGCAAGAAAUAAAUAUCUAUCUACCUUCAUUCAUGGGGAUGUUUAGGUGCUAGAUUUAGGUUUUCAAAUAUGUACUCACUCAUAGCUCUGUGCAGGAAACACCUCCUCCAGGUCAAAAAUAGCAAACCCAAGAGAACUGGCUAAAGCAGUUAUGUUUACUUUUUACCAUCUCUGUGGACUGCUUUCCAAAGGCCCACAAGUGGGAUGGUAUAAACAGGUCUGUGUCACUUCCUGGUUCUCAGGCCUUCUGCUACAUUCCCAGUCGGUCUGGGAAGGCUGCCUAAAAUAAACUGUNNNNNNNNNNNNNNNNNNNNNNNNNNNNNNNNNNNNNNNNNNNNNNNNNNNNNNNNNNNNNNNNNCUUCAUUCGGUUUCACUGAAAUUAAAAGGGGCUGAACGAGAAAUGAGACAAAAAUGACCAGCGAGAAUAAAUUUCCAGGUGAAAACAAAAAUACAGGCUCCCUGAGCUCAAGGUCAGGAGACUUGGAGUCUGCUCACGUUCUGCCUCUAACCAGAAAACUUGACCUUGACUAAGCAAGACGCUUCAUCUCUUUGCACAAAUAGCUGCUCAGCAUCCUCUUAACCCGAAUAUAGUUAUCCAAUCUUUCUGGACCUCAGUUUCCUUAUCUAUAAAAAUAGCACUAAUAGUAGCUACCUCCCAAGGCUACCACAAGUAUCAUACGGGAAAUACAUGUAAAGCACUUAGCAUAGUAAGUCACCAAAAAUGCUAAGUGUUAUAGUUAUUUCCAGCCAUCAUUACCGUCACCAUCAUCUGAAAAUAUAAGGGUUGAGCUAGAUGACCACUGCUUAAAGAGCAUCUCUGGCUCCAAAAUCCUGUAACUCUUCAAGUCAUCGUCUCCUUUUCUUCCUUCUCUCUUUUCUUUCCUUUUUUUUUAAGGGCAUUAGAUAGAAAGAAAGGGAGGUCAACUUGGGGAAGCAUGACAGUUACAAACGCAUCCUCAAUGUUUAUGUUAGAAAAUACAACUAAGGAAACCCAUCAAUGAGCUAAAGGGGGCAGGUCACUCUCCCCAGGGGAGAAGUCUUACCUAUUACUUGCAAUGAAGCCACAGCACACAGCAAGUUCACCCCGAACACACUGCCUCUAUUGCCCUGUGCAUGAAGGACAAACGCCCUCCUGCACCAGCACAAUCCAAUUUCACCCACUUCAUCUUUAACUAGGAGCAGCUCCUUGGAGAGCCCUACAAGAGAGCAGGUGGCCAAUCCACCCACUUCUAAUAAUGACUAAUCCCCCCGCAAAGUAUUCCUGUUUUGAACCCAAAAAAAGUGCCUUUUCCUUAAUAUCAUUUGAAUGUGGUCAAAAAUCAAAUGUCCUUGUCCCCAAAUUAGAGUGAAAUCAGAGGUGUUUGGCUUUAUCAAGGCCAAAGUGCUAAACUGUAACUAAAAUCAGAUGAAAUUUAAAAAACGUUUUCUCUUAUUCACUCAGCAUCCACAAUGUGCCAAAGGUUGUAGAAGCGCCAAAAAUGAACCGGCUUGAGAUGAGUGAGAGCAAUAAAAGGUAAUGCCUAGGUUUUUGGCCUGUGACUGGGUGAAAGGCUGAAGGUACCGGAGGAGGAAAAGAACACAGAUGGACGGCAGGCCUUGGUGAAGAAUGUGAUGAAUGUAACUCAGGUUAUUCUCAGACGGGCUGAAUUACAGGUGCUUAAAGGAUAUCCAAGUAGAAAGAUCGAGCAGGUAAAUCAGAAAUGAGGAUGAAGCUCUGCAAAGUGCUCCAAGCUUGGGAUACAGCCCUGGAGUUAUCAGCCUGUACAUGAGGGUUCAAAUCAUGUGAAAUAGAUGACCUCACCCGGGUGAGAGAGUUGAGUGAGAAGAGACUCAAGACAGAAUCCUCGGGAGAACACGUAACUUUCCAAACAGGCACAUCGAGGAAGGGGAGACCAGGGAAGGCACCCUAAAAAGCACAAGGAGAGCAGGAGCCUGUGCAUCACAGCUGUCAAGGGAGGGAUGCAAGGAGGAUGUGAGGAGGAAUGGCAGAUGCAGCAAAGGUCCAGUAAAUGAAGACUAAAAUAACGCCACUGGGCUAUCACUAGUGAUCUCAGCAAGAACAAUUUGACUAUACUGGUGAGGCCAGAUCAGGCUGAAUUUAACAUGAAUUCAAAGUGAGAAAGCAGACACAAUAAGGGCAAAACUUUGGCAGGGGGGAAGGAAGGAACUGGAAAAGAAGGGAGAAGACAGACUAGAUGAUGGCUAGGAGGAAUGUGUAUAAGUUGUACCUUCUCGGUUAACCCAAGGAUUUGAGUUAAAGCUUCUGGAACUUCCCAGACAGCUCAGAGACACCCCCAACCCCAUGGAGUGUCCCCUGAGCUGACACUCCUACAUACUAUGAUUUGGCCAAUGCUAAGGAGACGCUGGAGAUGAAUAUUUAAGACCUGCCUGCUUCCUUAAUCUCCAACAAAAGCAAAAGGCUCUCCAUGCCAUCACCCCUCUUCCAAAACGCCUACCUCUUCUGUAGGAUUCAGGACAAGUGGUCAACCUAGUGGCAGGGCCAGAGAAAUGGCCUUUCCCAGUGUCUCUCAGGCCUGAAAAUUCUCCAUAAAUAUGGUCUCAGUUUCUGCUAUUUCCCUCCUUUCCACUCCAAUGUCACCUGAGUAUUUUCCCUGGAGCUUCUGGGUCAGGUUCAGGAUCCUAGGAGCAUGUUCUUCACCUCCAUCUGCUGAAGCUUAACAGUCCCAGAGAACUUCCCAGAGAGCUCAGAGACACCCCCAACCCCAUGGAGAGUCCCCUGAACAUUCAGAGCAAACAAGACACUGUCUUCUGGCUCCACAUGCUCUCCACCUUGUGUAAGUUCUGAGAUGCCUCCUAAUUUACAACCAAACCAUGACUCUUCCUGUUCUCCUCCUCACAACUUGCCCAAACUUCCUGUCAGCUGUCAAGGCUGGACUAUGAGGCUUCAAGCAAAAAUGAAACGCGGGAGCCUGCCUACUACUGUUCCUUCCCCCAUGAUUAGUCCCACGCCCCAGCCCCACCUCUGCCCUUACAUGACCCCCUCUAGGUAUAGCGUCCCUCUAGUUCUAGCUCCAGCCACACCUCCAGCUCUCUCCAUCAGGCCUGGGGAAGAAAGAAAUCCGAUUAAUCCACAAGAAGGAAUAUUCCCUUAGAUCUCCAAACACAGGCUCAAAAAUAAUCAAAUUAGUCAAAGUUCAGGCAGAGGUAGCAAAUGAAGAACUUCAUAAAAUCCAGGGAUUAUUCUAGAAGAUGUUAAGAGGGAUUGUGAUAAACAUGGCAGAUGAGAAAGGAACAUCAGCAGUUCCCAUUGUGGCUCAGCGGUAACAAACCAGUAUCCAUGAGGACAUGGUUCGAUCCCUGGCCCCAGUCAGUGGGUUAAGGAUCUGGUGUUGCUGUGAGCUGUGGUGUAGGUCACAGAUGUGGCUCGGAUCUGGUGUUGCUGUGGCUGUGCCGUAAACGGGCAGCUGCAGCUCCGAUUCAACCCCUAGCCUGGGAACUUCCAUAAGCCACCGUUGCGGCCCUAAAAAAAAGAGAGAAAGAAACAUCAUAAAUUAAUGAGGGAAUCUGAUAUCUCCCUCCAGACAAGGUAUCUGGACUAAUUCCCAACACAAACCUUUCCUAAGGAACUUACAGACUUCAUUCAACACAUAUAAUGGACAUCUACUCAUGCUAGAUUCCAUGUAUGGUACAAAGAUGGGGGGGGAGGUCACAACUUUAAAGAGUUUACAAUCUACUGGGCUCCCCAGCAGACAGGUAACACAAAUAACUACAAUGAGGCGGAAAGUAAAAACACAUGGGAACACACAGCCAAAGUGUCAAAGACAAAACAGGAAUGUAAAUGGCAGCCAGAAGAGGGAAAUAAAAGCUAUUUACAGAAUCAAUUACCAUGUGGCUUUUAGAGUCAUACAAAAGGUAAUUCAAAUCCUAAUUCUGCCUCUUGCUUCUGAGGGGUGCGGGGUGUUCUGCUUGACCUGCAGCGAGCCUCUGCUUUGUCGUAUAUAAAAUUAGGGUAGACAUACCUAUUUCAUAGAAUUGUGAAGAGUUCGUGAUUCACACAUUUUUAAAGAGUUUAAUAUAGUAUUUGGCACGGAGUGAAACCAGGUUAAGAUGGAAGGGCCACUGCACAUAGAAAUUCAGCAUUCCUCCUCUCCCCCCACAGGACUGUCAGGGCCUUAAAUGGGCAGGCAGCUGAGCACCUGCUAUUUGCUCAUCGAAUUGUGCCUAUUCAAUUAGUUACCCAGGUACAAUGGGAUGAUGGUCUGGAGGUACAGGAAAGAGCUCCAAGAGUACGUAUAUGUGUACGUUCAUGCCAGGAUAACUCCUGGAAGCACACACCCAGGGUUCUGCUAGAAAGCAUAGCAUUAGAUCACAGGUACAGUUACAGAUUAUACCAUGUACAGCGUGACACUACACCAUGCUUUUCUUUUGGACAAUGUAGGUAUUCAAUAAAUGACAAACUGACAUGAACCUGCUUGAAUUCCCAAUAAAAUUUGUCUCAAUGGAUCCAUUCAGCAAGUAAACAUAGGCAGACAAAGACAUUCAAGGUUAAAAAUUGGUCUGAGAAGUCUAAUGGAAUAACAGGGUCUAGAUUUACUCACCUUUCUUAACAACUAAAAAAGAUAUGAUGCAUGAAAUAAUGUUUUUCAGAUAUUCAACAACAGCAGCAAAGGGCAGUGAUCCUUGAGAAAAGAGAAAGAAAUAGAGUGAGCCCUACUAGUGCCCCAUCUAACUCCCUAAGGCAUCUUCGGGCCACAGAGUAGGGAUAGCAAAGCUGAAAGCAUUCAACAAUUCCACUGGGCUGAAGAGACAGAGUUGGGAAUUUGGGGAUGCCAAGAUGCCUGGAACAUGUAGGGCAAAGUAACCAAAAGGAGGGAGCUAUAGAGAGAAAAAACUCCAGAGACUUGCAGAGGUUGAGUCCUGAUCCAUCAUAUGUUUGCAGAAACUAGCAAGGCUGAGGGAAGAACCACAGGGAAGGAGGCAGCUUUUCUCCCAGAGCUCAGAGAGCCAGAAAUUUACAGGUUCCCACUGGCCAAAGUGGAAAAAUCUAAUCACGAGGCACUGGAAGGAAUCUUCAGAAGGGUUUGGCCUCAAAAGUGGGGCUAUCCUAGCCCUAGACUAAAAGCUGGCUUGGACCCACUCUACAAAGCUGAGAAGCAAGGCCUGAAAGCAUCAAACCAAUUCUAAUUAUUAACUGAAUUGC